ensembl:lncRNA
AAGUGAAGGAGCUGAAUCAGCAGGAGGGAUGAGAUUAGACUACAGAGGGAUUUUAUUUACCCACUGACAGCGAUUUUUUCAAGGAAUCUCCAUGCUGUUUUCCAUAGUGGCUGUACCAACGUAAUUCCCGUCAACAGUGUAGGAGGGGUCAUUCAUUCUUGAUUUUGUAAUUUUCACACUUGGGAUUCCCAUCUGUCUACAAUCCCAUUUUUACAAAUGAAGACACCAGCUUGAGAGAUAUAGACAUGCACAUGUCUGAGCAUAAAAUAUAAGUGGCCAAAAAGCAUAUGAAAAGCAUCAGUCUUUUCCAAAGAGUCAACUCUUCGCAUGAGGUGGCCAAAGUACUGGAGUUUCAGCUUUAGCAUCAUUCCUUCCAAAGAAAUCCCAGGGCUGAUCUCCUUCAGAAUGGACUGGUUGGAUCUCCUUGAAGUCCAAGGGACUCUCAAGAGUCUUCUCCAAGCAUCACUGACUCGAUGGACAUGAGUCUGAGUGAAAUCCAGGAGUUGGUGAUGGACAGGGAGACCUGGCGUGCUGUGAUUCAUGGGGUCACAAAGAGUUGGACACAACUGAGCGACUGAACUGAACUGACUGACUGAACUGAAGCACUUAAUAAACAUGAGCUGAGGGAUUUCCCUGGUGGCUCAGUGGUAAAGAAUCUGCCUGUCAAUGCAGGAGACAUGGGUUCCAUCUCCGGUCUGAGAGGAUCCCACAUGCCACAGAGCAACUAAUCCUGUGUACCUGCACCACAACUAAGGAGCCUGUGCUCUAGAGCCUGGGAACCACAACUACUGACCCCAUGUGCCUCAGUUACUGAAAUGUGUGCCCUAGAGCCCAUGCUCUGCAACAAGAGAAGCCCCUGAAAUGAGAUGCCUGCUUACCUCAACUAGAGAGUAGCCUGCACAGCAACAAAGACACAAUAC